UGAGGAAUAUUGGUCAAUGGACGGAAGUCUGAACCAGCCAAGUCGCGUGAAGGAUGACUGCCCUAUGGGUUGUAAACUUCUUUUGUAUUGGGAGAAUAAGCCUUACGUGUAAGGUGAUGACUGUACAAUACGAAUAAGCAUCGGCUAACUCCGUGCCAGCAGCCGCGGUAAUACGGAGGAUGCGAGCGUUAUCCGGAAUUACUGGGUGUAAAGGGAGCGUAGGCGGCAUGAUAAGUAAGAUGUGAAAGCCCGGAGCUUAACUCCGGGAUUGCAUUUUAAACUAUCAGGCUAGAGUACAGGAGAGGUAAGUGGAAUUCCUAGUGUAGCGGUGAAAUGCGUAGAUAUUAGGAGGAACACCAGUGGCGAAGGCGGCUUACUGGACGAUCACUGACGUUGAGGCUCGAAAGCGUGGGGAGCAAACA
rnacentral:rRNA from 1 species